AAAUUGAAGAGUUUGAUCAUGGCUCAGAUUGAACGCUGGCGGCAGGCCUAACACAUGCAAGUCGAACGGUAACAGAAAGCAGCUUGCUGCUUUGCUGACGAGUGGCGGACGGGUGAGUAAUGUCUGGGAAACUGCCUGAUGGAGGGGGAUAACUACUGGAAACGGUAGCUAAUACCGCAUAACGUCGCAAG
rnacentral:rRNA from 1 species